rnacentral:rRNA from 1 species
UACAGAGGUCUCGAGCGUUAGGCGGAAUCACUGGGCUUAAAGGGUGCGUAGGCGGAUAAGUAAGUCCGUGGUGAAAUCCUGCAGCUUAACUGCAGAACUGCCGUGGAUACUAUUUAUCUUGAAUGUCGUGGAGGUUAGCAGAAUAUGUCAUGUAGCGGUGAAAUGCUUAGAUAUGACAUAGAAUACCCAUUGCGAAGGCAGCUAACUACGCGAUAAUUGACGCUGAGGCACGAAAGCGUGGGGAUCAAACAGG